ACUUCAUUUAUUUAUUCAAUUUCAGCCAUAAAAAUGAACCCGUCUUCCUAUAACUCUUCCCACCAGCCUUUCCUAAGAAAUUUCUCCGUUCUGUUAAAAGGGAAGUUGAGAACACCACAUGUUGUUUCUGUUGUAUUGACAUGGAUCUACAUUAAACCACAGGUUCUGUUCUUGAGACUGAUGAGGAAGAGUGGGGUGGUAAGGAUUUUGCAACACUACUGUAGUUGGCACAAACUUGUGACUAAGUUAACUUCCUGUUUGCAAUACUUGGGGGGAAUUCAAUGUUAUCUUUCAGCCUUCCCAAAACCAAAGACAAUCUCUGUACAGGAUCUGAAUGUAUAACCUUUUGCAUUAGAACUUUUCUGCAAUGUAGAGAAUUUAAAACUUGUAGUGUAUUUGAGAUUAAUAUGAAAAGGUUUUUGAAGUUUGUAAUAUAGACUACUUCCUCUGCAAUAGCGUCAGAAAAUAUGGUAUUUCCUCAUAUGAAAUUGUAAAUAAGUUUGUAGCCUACGCAGUUACAAAAUGGCUGUAGAAACUGUGGCACAGAUUUCUCUGUACAAUUAGAAGAUAAAUGUGUUAAUUUGAAGGAAAGACUGGCAGACUCUGGGGUCAGUGCUCAAAUGAGUCUCUCUGGGGAGAGAGGAGGGGGACCUGCCUCUAAAAUGAGUCUCUCUGGGAAGAGAGAGGAGGGGGGCCCUGCCUCUAAGACGAGUCUCUCUGUGGAACAUGACUCUAAAACUAAGAGCAACCAGUGAUCCGGGUCAACAGCAUCAAUGUAACAGUAUAACUUUAAACCGUCCCCUCGCCCCGACACGGGCGCGAACCAGGGACCCUCUGCACACAUCGACAACAGUCACCCACGAAGCAGCGUUACCCAUCGCUCCACAAAAGCCACGGCCCUUGCAAAGCAAGGGGCAACACUACUUAAGUCUCAGAGCAAGUGACGUAACUGAUUACAUUUACAUUUACAUUUAAGUCAUUUAGCAGACGCUCUUAUCCAGAGCGACUUACAAAUUGGUGCAUUCACCUUAUGACAUCCAGUGGAACAGCCACUUUACAAUAGUGCAUCUAGAUCAUCUAGAUCAAUAGUGCAUCUAGAUCAACUGAUUGAAAUGCUACUAGCGCGUACCCGCUAACUAGCUAGCCAUUUCACAUCCGUUACAUGUACACCUUCAAUAUUAAUUACAUUUACAUUUUAGUCAUUUAGCAGACGCUCUUAUCCAGAGCGACUUACAGUAGAGUGCAUACAUUUUAUUACAUUUUACAUACUGAGACAAGGAUACCCCUACCGGCCAAACCCUCCCUAACCCGGACGAUGCUAUGCCAAUUGUGCGUCGCCCCACGGACCUUAAUGUUAUCAGAUUGUUUAUUAAUAGAUUUGAGAUGUGUAUAAAACUGUUAUUUCUUAGCAAAACUCAAUAUAUCCAUUGUUUAUCAGGAAUGGAUUGUUGGUAUCCUGUAUAUUUGACUGUGAUAUGUGGUUGUCUCACCUAGAUAUCUAUAUAUCCAUUGUUUAUCAGGAAUGGAAUGUUGGUAUCCUGUAUAUUUGACUGUGAUAUGUGGUUGUCUCACCUAGAUAUCUAUAUAUCCAUUGUUUAUCAGGAAUGGAAUGUUGGUAUCCUGUAUAUUUGACUGUGAUAUGUGGUUGUCUCACCUAGAUAUCUAAAGAUGAACGCACUUACAGAUGCCAUAAAUUUAUUAAUUUGACUCAGUUUCUCAGAGCAAGAAAAGAAUCCUGCAGCAACAGGAAAUAUGAAUUAUUAUGUGGAUUAUAAUUGUCACAGGCCGGCUCAUAGCCUGUGACAAAAAUGAGAGGACACGAACAACAGGUAUAGGCCAAUUAAAAAGGUUCUUUAUAAUAAACCAAAAACUAUUAACUUUAAACUAAGAAAAAGGAAUGAGGUGUGGAAGUAUCAUAAUGUAAGGUGUAUGUAAAGUGCAUGGAUGCAUGAAUCUGUGUGUGUGAAUAUGACUGAGUGAAAACUAUGCAAAACUACAAACGAACAAACAAAAUAGGAUCAUACCUGGAGGAGCAGAGAGAGAGAGAAAAGUGAUUAGUGAAGCAGUUUAAAUACCCUGAGCCCAGGUGGCUCCAUUCACUAACGACCCUCCUCUGCCUGCAGGAGGAACCGCCCCUGCAAUGCAGAGGGGCCGUGACAUAAUUAAUUAAAUGUUUUUUUUUAGGGCAAAUCAAGUUUGACAUUUUUAAAGUGGAAAUUCCAAACUAUGUAUAGAACCAUUUUAAAGGCUGAAAUACACUACAAUACAGCAUUUGUAUUGUAAGUCACUCUGGUGCCUGGUUUCCUCGAUAGCGAUGGAAUUUAGGUUUACAAGUGUUUUAAGUGUAUCUUUCCUACAACAGCUGAAGAUGUAACAUGCAUUUCCCAUGCACCACGCAGAGAGAAUGGUCACUAUGACGACUGAAAACACAACCGUGGGACGAACGAGUGACACAUUUCUGGGCAUGGGCGGUCCAUUUAAAAUGUAUUCAUUUGCCUUGCACGUAUAACUCAUCAUAUGUCAUGAAACGUCAUCAGAAGUGUCCACCUAAUUUGAGGGCUGAGGGGAGAGGGUGUCUUUAAGUCUUUGAAACGCAGCCAUGGAUAGUUUCUAAGUAACAUUACCACGUGAUCAAUGACGUCCAAAGCUUUGUCUGAUCUCAUGCUUUUCUGACCCAUUGUUGUUUAAAUUGUUGUUUAAAUAAUGUGUGUUAUUUAGUGUAGCCUACAAUAAUAUUCUGUAUUUGGUAUUCUAAAUAAUACCACAGAUGCAUAGAUUCUGAAAACAGUGAACCUGGAGGCUAAAAGAGAACCCCACAUUCUAACUAAAUGUUGUUUAUUAGUACUCAAAUCCUUCAAUGGCAUUUUCGGUACAAUUUGGUGAAAUCCCCAAAAAGUUCAGAAAUCCUCGGUUUCCCAUCACCACGUGAUAUGUCUUUUAGUAAAUGUUUUUUUUUCUAGGAGGGACUAGAGACUUCAUGCAUAGCUUUAAUUUAUACUCAUGAGUGUAAAUGUCUUUAUUCUCAGCACUUAUACGACCAGUUUUCUACUCUGAGACGCUUUGUGGAUAUGGGCCCAGAUCUCAACAUAUUGUUAUUAAAAACGUAGAAUGUUUGUUUAACAUAAUAAUAAAACAUGAAUAUUACUAAUGUAACCCACUGUAAAGACUGGGUUUAGUUGAUUGUGUUGCACUGCUCAUGUCCACGUACAGAACUGUCCACGUCCCCGUACAGAACUGUCCGUGUCCCCGUACAGAACUGUCCGUGUCCACGUACGGUGUGGCGCCAAGCAUAUUGUCCAGUUACACGCAGAGUUGGCUGAGGUGAUCUUGGGGAAUAACGAUGGAGUUUGUUACAGUGUUGAGACACCGAAGUUAAGUGUUCAAUUAUUUUAAUCGAAUAGAAUCUACAGAUUGCGUGUUGAAGAUAAAUACUUUUACUAAGACUAUUAGUAUAUUAGUAAUUGACUGACCCGGUUUCUCCAGAUCUCCCAACAGUACUAUUUCUAGGGUCAAUUUUAGAUCAAUGCUGUGCAUUUUCAGCCAUUCCUGAACCUGAGACCAGAAACAGGCUACCUGAGGGCAAUACCAAAAUAAAUGGUCUAUUGAUUCUGUAUCCUCACAACAAAAUCUGCAGAGCUUCGAUGAUUUUAUGCCCCAAAUAUUCAACAUUUUGUUGUUGGCAAGAAUUCUAUAUAAUAAUUUUAGCCUAAAAGCACGAAGUCUUGAAUCUUGCUUUGUUUUAUAUAUUAACUCAUACACCCUUUACCAUGGAAUCGGUACAUCAAAAAUCUCUUCCCAACUAUUUUGCAAUCUGUAUGGCACAGUUGUCAACAUCCUGGUCCUCAAAUGAAACUAGUAUACUUUCCUAUUUAUGACAUUGUUAUUCCUCUGCCAGUUUUGAUCCUUUAUAUUUGGCAGACAGACCAGUUCGAUACCUCCUCCAUUUUUGGGGUAAUGCUGUAAUCAAUUGGUUGUACUCUUGGAUUGAACAGACCUUCCCGUACAAUUCUGAUAACUCCAUGAAGAACAUAACUCUACCAUUACAAUUUACAAUAUCAUUUAAGAACAAAAUACUCUUUUCAAACAUCUUUCCCAUAAAUACAGGUAUUUUAUCAACCAGCACAUUUGAGUUCAGCCAUAAUAUUUGUUGUAAUAUUUGUUCUAUCUUUUCAGGGGGGUGAAAUUAAAAUUGUAGCCAGCUCUGGAAUGCUGGUUUUAAAAAGAAAGAUACUUUGAAAAAAGUAUAAUUCUCAAUUAAUCUAAAAUGAGACAUGGAAAUCUGCACAAAGGCACAAAGGCCAUUUUUAAACAAUGGAUGAGCUUUUCUUUUUAAUCUACUGGAGAACCAUUUAGGGUUCAAGUAAAACUGUUGAAUCGGUGAAGCUUUUAGAGAGAGGUUUAGGGCUGUUAUAUUUAAUAACCUCAACCCACCCAAUUCAUAUUCAUUAUACAGAUAGUCACUCUUUAUUUUGUCUGGUUUAGCGUCCCAGAUAAAGCGAGAUAUUUGUUGCUCAUAUGAUUUGAAAAACAAGUCAUCAGGAGCAGCAGCAUCAUAAACUGAGAGAAGAUUAAGGGGUUAAUCAGGGCAGUUUUCCAUAAAUAGACAGGUAUUUACCUCUCCACAGAUCAGGGCAGUUUUCCAUAAAUAGACAGGUAUUUACCUCUCUGCAGUUGCAGGAUCUUAUCCAUUUUUUUUGUACUUGUUUCUGGUCAUGUGACAUUGCCCUUGUUUAUCAUAUCAAAUCAAAUCACAUUUUAUUGGUCACAUACACAUGGUUAGCAGAUGUUAAUGCGAGUGUAGCGAAAUGCUUGUGCUUCUAGUUCCGACCGUGCAGUAAUAUUGUCACACUCUGGCCUUUGUUAUAUUGAUUUUCUUUAUUAGUUUAGUUAGGUCAGGGUGUGACAUGGGAUGUUUGUGUGUUUUUGUCUAGUUUAGGGUGUGUGUAUUGUUUAGGGGGUUUUGUAGUAUGUAUGGGGUUGUGUUCAGUGUAGGUGUUUAGGAAAGUCUAUGGUGGCCUGAUUUGGUUCUCAAUCAGAGACAGCUGUUUAUUGUUGUCUUUGAUUGGGAGCCAUAUUUAAGGCAGCCAUAACCUUUAGGUGUUUGUGGGUAAUUGUCUAUGUUGAACGUUUGUAGCUUGUGUGUGCACUAACGUUUGUAGCUUCA